rnacentral:rRNA from 1 species
UACGGAGGAUCCAAGCGUUAUCCGGAUUUAUUGGGUUUAAAGGGUGCGUAGGUGGAAGAGUAAGUCAGAGGUGAAAGCUAGCAGCUUAACUGUUAAAUUGCCUUUGAUACUGCUUUUCUUGAGUAUAGUUGGCGUUGGCGGAAUGUGACAUGUAGCGGUGAAAUGCGUAGAUAUGUCACAGAACACCGAUCGCGAAGGCAGCUAACGAAACUAUCACUGACACUGAUGCACGAAAGCGUGGGGAGCAAACAGG